GACGAACGCUGGCGGCGUGCUUAACACAUGCAAGUCGAACGGAAAGGCCCUGCUUUUGUGGGGUGCUCGAGUGGCGAACGGGUGAGUAACACGUGAGUAACCUGCCCUUGACUUUGGGAUAACUUCAGGAAACUGGGGCUAAUACCGGAUAGGAGCUCCUGCUGCAUGGGGGGGGUUGGAAAGUUUCGGCGGUUGGGGAUGGACUCGCGGCUUAUCAGCUUGUUGGUGGGGUAGUGGCUUACCAAGGCUUUGACGGGUAGCCGGCCUGAGAGGGUGACCGGCCACAUUGGUACUGCGAUACGGCCCAGACUCCUACGGGCGGCAGCAGUGGGGAAUAUUGCACAAUGGGCGGACGCCUGAUGCAGCAACGCCGCGUGCGGGAUGACGGCCUUCGGGUUGUAAACCGCUUUCGCCUGUGACGAAGCGUGAGUGACGGUAAUGGGUAAAGAAGCACCGGCUAACUACGUG
rnacentral:rRNA from 1 species